CAAAGGAGUGAUCCGGCAGAGGAUGGACAUGCGGCGCAUUAGCUAGUCGGCGGGGUAACGGCCCACCGAGGCUACGAUGCGUAGGGGUUCUGAGAGGAAGGUCCCCCACACUGGUACUGAGACACGGACCAGACUCCUACGGGAGGCAGCAGUGAGGAAUAUUGGUCAAUGGGCGGAAGCCUGAACCAGCCAAGUCGCGUGAGGGAAGACGGUCCUAUGGAUUGUAAACCUCUUUUGCAGGGGAGCAAGGCGCGGUACGUGUACCGCGAAGGAGAGUACCCUGAGAAAAAGCAUCGGCUAACUCCGUGCCAGCAGCCGCGGUAAUACGGAGGAUGCGAGCGUUAUCCGGAUUUAUUGGGUUUAAAGGGUGCGCAGGCGGACUGUUAAGUCAGCGGUAAAAUGUCGGUGCUCAACACCGGCCGGCCGUUGAAACUGGCAGCCUUGAGUGAGCGAGAAGUAUGCGGAAUGCGUGGUGUAGCGGUGAAAUGCAUAGAUAUCACGCAGAACUCCGAUUGCGAAGGCAGCAUACCGGCGCUCAACUGACGCUCAGGCACGAAAGCGUGGGUAUCGAACAGGCUCAGAUACCCUGGUAGUCCACGCAGUAAACGAUGAAUGCUCACUGUCCGGGCCGUUUAAGGCCUGG
rnacentral:rRNA from 1 species